CUCUUAUUUAACACAAGUUUAAAUUGAUUGAUUGUAUGUUGCUAAUUUUAACACCCAGUGACAAAUAUUUCAUGCUUGUUCAUGAAAACACGAGUUUAGAAGUCAGGUAUAUAAUAUAAAAACGAAGAGAUGGAAUGUGAUUGCAAAUAAGGCAACUAUCCACCGGAGUUCAAAUAUGAAGUGGAUGUAAGCAAUUAUAGACAAUCGUAAGGCCUUCAACAAUGACAAAAACCUGAUACUGUAAAGUCGUCUAUAAAAGGCCCGACAUGAAAAUGUAAACAAUUCAAACGAAAAAACUAACAGCCUAAUUAUACAUAACAAAACAAUUUACAAAAUAUCAAAUAUGAGUCGAGACAUGAACCAACGACAACCACUAAACAACAGGCUCCUGACCUUGGACAGGUAAAUAAAGAAUAUGGCAGGGUUGAUAUAGAAACGAAGAUGUGGUAUGAUUGCAAAUGAGACAACUCUCCACAAGAGACCAAAUGACACAGAAAUCAACAGCUAUAAGUCACCGUACGGCCUUCGACAAUAAGCUAAGCAUACAUCGCAUAGUCAGCUAUAAAAGGCACCGAAAUCACAAAUGUAAAACAAUUCAAUCGAGAAAACUAGCGACCGAAUUAAUGUACAAAAAAAAUGAACGAACACAAAUAUGUAUAACACAGCAACAAACGGCAACCACUGAAUUACAGGCUCCUGACUUGGGACAAGCACAUACAUACAGAAUGUGGCGGGGUUAAACAUGCAUGUUAGCGGGAUCCCAAAUCCUCCCCCUAAUCUGGGACAGCGGUGUAACAGUACAACAACAUGUUUGUGAGCACUCAAUCCAUCCCGAAUAUGGGACAGUGGUAUAACAGU
rnacentral:lncRNA from 1 species